rnacentral:snoRNA from 1 species
UUGGCCUCUUCGAAGAUCCUUAUACCUUUUCCUCCGUGGUAUAAUGAUUCAAAGCGAGGCCUAGAACUACGUUUUCACGACUAAUUUGGCUUCUUUUCUUACAGUAUCACUAGGAAAAAUCAGAUACGCUAUGGGAGAAGAGACUGAUAGUUUGCUCUAUUGGUUGAUAAUUAGUUUGAUACAUUU